UAUGUGGCGCGCCUCCUGAGACACUGCGGAAGGAUCAUA
rnacentral:rRNA from 1 species